ensembl:lncRNA
AUGCCAAGAGCGUACAGUAUGAGCUCCCCAAGUGUGUGGACUGGAGGAACCCGCGGCAACCUGCUCCAGCAGAAGAUCCUGGGACAAUUGGGGGAAGCAUCUGGACCAGCAGUCCCUGGGAGUGUGCGUGUACCUCGGAGCCACUGGUGCUGCCUGCUCCUCUUCCUGCACAUGUACAUCUGUGUGGGCGCAAUGGCCUGGUGUCUACUCACCACCGUCACCAAGAUCAGUUUCAAUCAGGGCUGGGUAUGGGGACCAUUCAAUUCUUUUGAUACCAAUAUGAUACUUUGUUUACAACUCUGGUAUCUGAAUAAUACCUUCUUUUUAUACCUACACUACAUUAUUUGUUUUCUUCAACUAUAGUGCACAAGUGAUACAUUUAUCUAUUGAAUUAAAUUAUUAUAAUUUAUUUUCAUUUUACUCAUUUAUUUAAGCUGGAACAAUCAAGUACUAUACUUUCUUUAGAGCUGUCUCAGGACCUACCAGGCAUUAAAACUUGUAUCAAAGAGCAUACUUGUUUUAACAAUACCCAGCCCUAGUUAAAGCCCUAGUUUGGGGCCACUGAUAUACCAUGACAGCUACAUGUACGUCGCUCUGGCCUUCAUAUACUCGAUGUGCUGUACAUGGUGAAAUGCUGGCACAGUACAGCAGUGAGCUGCAGCGUACAGCUGAUGUUGACAGUGACUAUGAGUGUGUACUAAGGAUGCAAACAAGCCCAGCAUCUGGUGGAAAGCCACUUUUCCAGCGGACUCAUUAGGUGACUCAGUAUUGAAGUGGUGAAGUGGCUUGCAUGAUCACGCACCUUGCCAAAGGGAGUUUGGCUAAAACCGCUGUGGAUUGAGAGACGUCUCUCAUGACCUCAAGGAUUAGAAGUGCACAUGGUCACAAGACUUUGGUUAAGGUGCUUUAUUUGUCAUUAUACAACUGUACAACGAUAUCUGUUCUUUGCUUUUGAUCCAUGCUUUGUUGCUGCUGGGUAAAAACUUGCAGUGGGCAGCUGUGUGCAGCACCCUGGGGCCCAUCUCCAAAUGUUGAGCCAGGCUAAUGGUCAGAAUCACCUAACUUAUUGUGCAUGUUUGUUUUGCCACCUCACUAAGUCCUUAUAUCAGUUAUACUGAGUCAGGCCCUGAAAACCAUUUUUAAACCAGAGAGCAAGAUGCUUUUCUGAAGUGGAGGGUUUGUAUGACAACAUCAUGCAGAAAAAUGAACUUUAGAGAGAACUUGAUUGUUUGUGUCUACUGUGCAACAUUGAGUAGAAAAUGGUUUGGCUUGGAGUACAAUCCAGGCUCCCCUAGCCAAUAUAACAGACAUCAUACAGUAUCUAACAUAAAACUGUUAUUCUGAGAGAGAGUUGACACACUGGUAAGCAUAGAAAUGGAGUGGCAUAUCUGCUGUUAUAGACAUCAUUCCUAGCAAACUCUUAGGCUAUGCUGAUGAACAUACUGUAAGCAGCACCCACUCUCUGACUGCUCCUCCCCUUCAGAUUUCUUCUGCUGGACCAAAGCCAGACCCCGCUCAGGAGCUUCAGUUGUUCUCUCUCUUCUCAUUUUAUGAAACACCUUCCCUCUCGCACCCAUGCUUUGGUACCUCGCACUCAAGCUGCAGCAGCUUCAGUCCUGGUUGCCAUAUUGCAGAGAUGAGCAGCCCUGUCAGCCCAGAGUGAGUCUUCUCUCUUAGAGUAAUGCACACUUCUUCCCCUGUUCUGAUUGUUGCACAAUCAGGGGUCAGGGGAAGCAAGAGCAGAAAUGUGCAGACAGCCUGAGCAGCUGAGACAGCACAGACAGCACUGUAACAAAAACAAACGUAGUGUCCUGUUGAUCUUCCAUUACUGAAUCAAGUAGACCAGUCCUGGGUUGUGGGUUCCAAUGCAAGCCUUUGGCCGUUUUAAGGAACGUCCACAGUGGCACACCUAACUGGACAAAUUGCGCUGCCGCUUCUAUCUGGUCGCUUGAAAGGCUUAUAAGUCGCUCGCAUUUGUUCACUUCGCAUUUGUUCACUGCUGCUGCAUGAUUCUGUGGAAAAAAACUCUGCGCUGUUGCUGCUAAGAUGUGAAUGAAAAUGGUGUCCUGUCUUUGGUGAUGAGUGUAAUAAUUUUACUGCCUUUUUCUGACACUUAAGGCAAAUCUCGCCGCUUUCCUCCCUCCUGCCUCUACUGGGUAUUAUUUCAAUAUAUGUGGUUUGGACUAGGGCUGAAAGAUAUAUAUCGUUAUCGUAUCGAGAUAUGAACAUUCAAGAUAUUAAUAUCGGAAAAGCAAUGAUAUAUCGCUUGUUAAAGGAUAACAUUAAAUCGCUACUUAUCAUACUGGGUCAAGCUGUAAAGUCGUACUAUCUCUGUCAUAGCCUUGACUGUGGUGCUCAGGCGCCCACUCUCAGCCACUGAAUGUUUUGCUUGCGUAUCAGUUUGACGCUCUUAGACGGUAUUUAUCCCUCUUCUGUGGAAGCAUAGACAGACUUGAAUGGUAGGACUAGCGCAAUGUCUCGAGUUCAUGUCUCCGAGUCCCGUAACGAUGGUAAAUAAACUCCUGUAUAAGACAUCCAGACUGCUGCCUAUUCUUCAUCUAUCCUCUCGAACACCAUUGUUAUUUCUCUAACAUCGCUAUCGUAUUGAUAUCGAGAUAUGAACAUUCAAAACAUUAAAAUAAAAAAAGCAAGAUAUAAACGAUAUAGAUUUUCAUCAAUUAAACUGCACUUUUUAUUAUUAUGUUUUUAUUUUUCUGAAAAAUGCUUGGUUUUCACCUAACCUAGCCUGGUUUUACCAUACCCUCGUACUAAUUUUGUUUCGUACAAGGGUCUGGAUCUUCACAAUUGAGCUCCGUUAACAGGUGGGAGGGGUGAACUCCUUUGAAACGAUUGGAUCUGAUUUUCGCUAGCGUUUGGUGUAUGUAAUGUGCCCGAGAGAGUGAAGCAGCUAUCAUAACUCUUGGGAGCAUUCCUUUAUCCAAGGCUUCAAUUUUAAUUUUUGGAUAUUUGGGAGCCGAGCCAGAACGAAUGGAAGAGCUUCCAUUACUUUUGUAUCCACUGCCAUUGCCGAACUACAACCGGCAAAUGCGGCGCAAAUGCUUGACGUCGCCUACAACACCAGUCUCCCCGCUCGCUGAAUGGUAGAACAAAACAUGUUUGUGAUCUAGUGCGUCCUUUAUUGCAUCCGCGUCUGUGUUUUCAUAAGUUUAUUGAAGUGUAUAAUUCCUCUGAUCUGAAUGCCUGGGCUCGGGAAAGGCAUUUCAAACCACAGCUGCCGCUUGUCAUAAAGCCUCUCCUCCUCUUUUCAGACGGUGUUUCCGUUUCACUUGUGUCUUUAUGAUGUAGUAGAUGUGGUUAUGUUGCUCCAAAUUCAGAUGAUCUAUACGGCACGGUAGUUCACAGCUUCUCACAGCAAGAAGGUCCCGGGUUCGAUUUCCACCUGGACGGGGCCUUUCUGUGUGGAGUUUGCAUGUUCUCCCCGUGUCUGCAUAGGUUUCCUCUGGGUACUCCGGUUUCCCCUACCACUAAAAACAAGUACUAUAGGAUAAAUGAUGUGUGUGUGCGUGGCGCAGAUCUGUGCAGUCGCGACAGCACUUCUGUCAGUCUCCCCCAGGGGAAACUGAACAUCACAGAGUAUGGAGUGAAUGUAUAAUUGUCUCAUGUAAAGCGCUUUGUGACUUUGUCUGUGAAAGGCUCUAUAUAAAUAAAGUUCUUCUUCUUCUAUACAUUUUUCCUGAAUGUGUAUUUGGAUACUGAUCACACCGCCCUUCUGCACCUGCCGCCAUGCGCUGUAAUACACGUGGGCACGUAUUUCACAUUGAC